rnacentral:rRNA from 1 species
ACGUAGGUGGCAAGCGUUGUCCGGAAUUACUGGGUGUAAAGGGAGCUCAGGCGGAAGGACAAGUUGGAAGUGAAACCCACGGGCUCAACUCGUGAACUGCUUUCAAAACUGUUUUUCUUGAGUGGUGUAGAGGUAGGCGGAAUUCCCGGUGUAGCGGUGGAAUGCGUAGAUAUCGGGAGGAACACCAGUGGCGAAGGCGGCCUACUGGGCACUAACUGACGCUGAGGCUCGAAAGCAUGGGUAGCAAACAGGAUUAGAUACCCUGGUAGUCCAUGCCGUAAACGAUGAUUACUAGGUGUGGGAGGAUUGACCCCUUCCGUGCCGCAGUUAACACAAUAAGUAAUCCACCUGGGGAGUACGACCGCAAGGUUG